rnacentral:tRNA from 2 species
GGAGGAUUGGCCGAGAGGUAAGGCACCGGCUUGCUAAGCCGUGGUCGGGGGUCACACCCCGCGCGCGUUCGAUCCGCGCAUCCUCCUCAA